rnacentral:rRNA from 1 species
AUGACCGGCGGCGACCGACUGUCCAGCCUCCCCGAUGACCUUCUACGGCACAUCCUGUACUUCGCGCUGGUAAAGGAGGGCGCCACCACGGGCGCGCUCGGGCGGCGGUGGCGCUCGCUCUGGCCCUCGUCCGGCGCCGUCAACCUGGACUCACGCUCCUACGACGACCUCGACCGGUACUCCAAGCGCUACGUUAUCAUGCGUGACGCCCGUGAGGCUUUCGCCGCCGCCGACGGCAACGUAACGAAGCUCACGUUCUGGUACUCGGAAGGAGAGGACGACGACCACAGCGACUACGAGUCAUUCGCUUUCCAUGACGACGUGUGCGAGGCGAAGCAGGACAUGGCCCGAGAGCUCGAGGCCCUGCUGUCCAGCCCGGCGGCCAGCCGCCUGGAGGAACUCCGUAUCGGGCUCUUCUACGGCCCGGACUCGGACGCUCCCGGGGCCGGAAUGCUAUACAACUUCAGCAUCGGCAGCCUGCCGCCGUCGAGGUCUCUCCGCGUGCUGCACCUCAGCAAGUGCAUGAACUACGACCAUGAGGUCCACGAUCCAUUCCAUCGGCUCGUGGAGCUGCGGCUGCACCUGUGCGGCGUCUCGUUCCACCUACUCCAGGCACACCUACUCCAGGGUGUCAUAGAUGGCGCGCCGCAGCUCGCCACCCUGGACCUCGACGGGUCCGAGCUCUGGACAGGGGACCCUCGUUGGCAGCAAUCGGUAGUUCUCCGCUGCCCCAGGGUCACCACCCUCGUUCUCGCAAAUUUGGACGACCGCUGCUGGGGCGAUAAAGGGCAGAACACCAUGGAGCUCGAUGCUCCGCUGUUGCGGUGGUUCAGGUACCAGGGGCCUGUCCGGUCAUUGUCGCUCAAGUCGCCGCAGCCGGACAUGACACGGGUAGACCUGCGCCUCCAUGUUCCUGCGGAUGUUCCUACAGAUGGCGAAACGUGCCGGACAUUUGUUCAAAGCUUCAGCAAUGCAACGAUCGUGAACGUCGACUUUGAACUGCUAGACGAUCAAUACGACGGAGGAAGUGUGCCCCAUCUACUGAUGUACAAUGACGCUAUGAAUUUCCAUAUAUGUCACCUAUAUUUUGAGUCAAAUCCAUAA